rnacentral:rRNA from 1 species
GACGAACGCUGGCGGCGUGCCUAAUACAUGCAAGUCGAACGCAGUGGGGACGGGUGAGUAACACGUGGGUAACCUCCCAUCAGAGGGGAUAAAACUUGGAAACAGGUGCUAAACCGAUACUGAUGGAUGGACCCGCGGUGCAUUAGCUAGGUGGUGAGGUAACGGCUCACCAAGGCCACGAUGCAUAGCCGACCUGAGAGGGUGAUCGGCCACACUGGUACUGAGACACGGCCCAGACUCCUACGGGAGGCAGCAGGAGGGAAUCUUGUGCAAUGGACGAAAGUCUGACCGAGCCACGCGGCGUGAAUGAAGAAGGUCUUCGGAUCGUAAAACUCUGUGGUUGGGGAAGCGUUAUCUAACCAGGAAGCCACGGCUAACUACGUGCCAGCAGCCGCGGUAAUUC